rnacentral:rRNA from 1 species
CUCUUGAAGUCUUAGUGGCGCAGCUAACGCACUAAGUAGACCGCCUGGGGAGUACGGCCGCAAGGUUAAAACUCAAAUGAAUUGACGGGGGCCCGCACAAGCGGUGGAGCAUGUGGUUUAAUUCGACGCAACGCGAAGAACCUUACCUGGCCUUGACAUGCAGAGAACUUUCCAGAGAUGGAUUGGUGCCUUCGGGAACUCUGACACAGGUGCUGCAUGGCCGUCGUCAGCUCGUGUCGUGAGAUGUUGGGUUAAGUCCCGUAACGAGCGCAACCCCUAUCCCUAGUUGCCAGCAGUUCGGCUGAGAACUCUAGGGAGACUGCCGGUGACAAACCGGAGGAAGGUGGGGAUGACGUCAGGUCAUCAUGGCCCUUACGGCCAGGGCUACACACGUGCUACAAUGGUGCGUACAGAGGGCUGCAAACCCGCGAGGGGGAGCUAAUCUCACAAAACGCAUCGUAGUCCGGAUCGGAGUCUGCAACUCGACUCCGUGAAGUCGGAAUCGCUAGUAAUCGCGAAUCAGAAUGUCGCGGUGAAUACGUUCCCGGGCCUUGUACACACCGCCCGUCACACCAUGGGAGUGGAUUGCACCAGAAGUGGUUAGUCUAACCUUCGGGAGGA